GUCCUGCUGCAGCUUCCUUCACACAGCUCUGCAGACCUUCUCCAGCAGGCUGGAAGAUUUAAAAAGCAGCAGAUGAGCUGGCAGAGAAGGAAGAAAGAGUUGUGGUGUGGAGCUGUGAGGCAGAAGAGGAGCGGAAGACUGACAAGGAGCACAGGACCCUCCUGUCACCAGGCCUGGGUGCAAAGAAGAUGACGCCUGCAAUGCCCUGUCUGGUUUGCGCUGGGUGACCUCCCUGGAAGCAGUCUUCUGGUCUUGGCUUCUGUGGCUUUUUAUGGCCUUUUCUCACGUUGCUUGUCUGGUUGCCAGCAGACCUUGGCCACCCAGUAAGGAGGGCCUUACAAACAAAGUGUAUCCUAGGAGCAUGUAAAGAUGGAUUCCAAUGAUGUCUGCCUUGCAAGAAGACUCCAAAGACAACCAUCAAAAUAUCAAAAACCCAGUUG